ACACAUGCAAGUCGAACGAGCGAGAGAGAGCUUGCUUUCUCGAGCGAGUGGCGAACGGGUGAGUAACGCGUGAGGAACCUGCCUCAAAGAGGGGGACAACAGUUGGAAACGACUGCUAAUACCGCAUAAGCCCACGGCUCGGCAUCGAGCAGAGGGAAAAGGAGCAAUCCGCUUUGAGAUGGCCUCGCGUCCGAUUAGCUAGUUGGUGAGGUAAUGGCCCACCAAGGCGACGAUCGGUAGCCGGACUGAGAGGUUGAACGGCCACAUUGGGACUGAGACACGGCCCAGACUCCUACGGGAGGCAGCAGUGGGGAAUAUUGCACAAUGGGGGAAACCCUGAUGCAGCGACGCCGCGUGGAGGAAGAAGGUCUUCGGAUUGUAAACUCCUGUUGUUGAGGAAGAUAAUGACGGUACUCGACAAGGAAGUGACGGCUAACUACGUGCCAGCAGCCGCGGUAAAACGUAGGUCACAAGCGUUGUCCGGAAUUACUGGGUGUAAAGGGAGCGCAGGCGGGAAGACAAGUUGGAAGUGAAAUCUAUGGGCUCAACCCAUAAACUGCUUUCAAAACUGUUUUUCUUGAGUAGUGCAGAGGUAGGCGGAAUUCCCGGUGUAGCGGUGGAAUGCGUAGAUAUCGGGAGGAACACCAGUGGCGAAGGCGGCCUACUGGGCACCAACUGACGCUGAGGCUCGAAAGUGUGGGUAGCAAACAGGAUUAGAUACCCUGGUAGUCCACACCGUAAACGAUGAUUACUAGGUGUUGGAGGAUUGACCCCUUCAGUGCCGCAGUUAACACAAUAAGUAAUCCACCUGGGGAGUACGACCGCAAGGUUGAAACUCAAAGGAAUUGACGGGGGCCCGCACAAGCAGUGG
rnacentral:rRNA from 1 species